rnacentral:rRNA from 1 species
UACGGGGGGAGCAAGCGUUGUUCGGAUUUACUGGGCGUAAAGGGCGCGUAGGCGGCCACCGCAAGUCGACUGUGAAAUCUCCGGGCUUAACCCGGAAAGGUCAGCCGAUACUGCGGGGCUAGAGUGCAGAAGGGGCAAUCGGAAUUCUUGGUGUAGCGGUGAAAUGCGUAGAUAUCAAGAGGAGCACCUGAGGUGAAGACGGGUUGCUGGGCUGACACUGACGCUGAGGCGCGAAAGCGUGGGGAGCAAACGGG